rnacentral:lncRNA from 1 species
CUGGUUUGUUACACAUUCAUCGUGCUCUGUACAUGAAUAGUCAUCAAUGCGUAUAUAUCCUGUUUUGCAGAUGCACAUGAAGGAUCCUGGUGUAUUUACACACAUGGUGUUCUCCCGACAGUAGUGCUGCCCCUCGGCACACUCAUCAACAUCUUCACAGUAGGCAUUGUCCUCCCGAAGGGCCCGGAAGCCAUCUCGGCAGCUACAGACAGCUCUGUCAUCUAGGUUUCGGCAGACAGAAUGCU